rnacentral:miRNA from 1 species
UGUGAUAUUGGUUCGGUUCAUA